CCUACGGGCGGCAGCAGUGGGGAAUAUUGGACAAUGGGGGCAACCCUGAUCCAGCCAUGCCGUGUGUGUGAAGAAGGCCCUCGGGUUGUAAAGCACUUUCAGUGAGGAAGAACGCCUGGUGGUUAAUACCCAUCAGGAAAGACAUCACUCACAGAAGAAGCACCGGCUAACUCCGUGCCAGCAGCCGCGGUAAUACGGAGGGUGCGAGCGUUAAUCGGAAUUACUGGGCGUAAAGCGCGCGUAGGUGGCUUGAUAAGCCGGUUGUGAAAGCCCCGGGCUCAACCUGGGAACGGCAUCCGGAACUGUGAAGCUAGAGGGCAGGAGAGGAAGGUAGAAUUCCCGGUGUAGCGGUGAAAUGCGUAGAGAUCGGGAGGAAUACCAGUGGCGAAGGCGGCCUUCUGGACUGACACUGACACUGAGGUGCGAAUGCGUGGGUAGCAAACAGGAUUAGAUACCCGAGUAGUC
rnacentral:rRNA from 1 species